rnacentral:rRNA from 1 species
UUCCCGGGCCUUGUACACACCGCCCGUCACACCAUGAGAGUUGGGAAUACCCGAAGCCUGUGAGCUAACUUAUAGAGGCAGCAGUCGAAGGUAGAAUCAAUGAUUGGGGUGAAGUCGUAACAAGGUAGC